CAAUCCGCCUGCCUCAACCUCCCAAAGUGCCGGCAUUACAGGUGUGAGCCACCGCAUGCCUGUGUCUUCGGUCAGGUCUUACACUGACUUUUCUCAGCAGUGGCCUGCCCUGCCCACCCUCCUUGUCAUUUGCCUCUGCAUCCCUCCUUUCCCACUCUCUUGAGCAGUGGUUGAAGGGGACGCAUUAGAAGCUACUUCUUCUCAGAGCGACUACAAAAAAUGGGCUAUUGAUCUUUUACGUUAAAUAAUGCAGCCCACACACCUGCUCAGUUCAUACCUAGCUGGUGUCAGUUUACAUCCUUAAAUUCAUCCUGCCGCUCCUCCCCGCUUUUUAUUUAUUCAUGCCCUUGCCUUGUCCCAG
rnacentral:lncRNA from 10 species